GACAGAGGGUGCAAACGUUGUUCGGAAUUACUGGGCGUAAAGCGCGUGUAGGCGGCAACGCAAGUCGGAUGUGAAAGCCCCGGGCUCAACCCGGGAAGUGCACUCGAUACUGCGUAGCUUGAGUCUCGGAGAGGUUGGUGGAAUUCUCGGUGUAGAGGUGAAAUUCGUAGAUAUCGAGAGGAACACCGGUGGCGAAGGCGGCCAACUGGACGAAGACUGACGCUGAGACGCGAAAGCGUGGGUAGCAAACGGG
rnacentral:rRNA from 1 species